rnacentral:rRNA from 1 species
UACAGAGGGUGCGAGCGUUGUCCGGAAUCACUGGGCGUAAAGGGCGCGUAGGCGGUGACUUAAGCGUGUGGUGAAAGCUCGGGGCUCAACCCCGAGUCGGCCGUGCGGACUGGGUCACUGGAGCAUGUCAGAGGCAGGCGGAAUUCCGGGUGUAGCGGUGGAAUGCGUAGAGAUCCGGAAGAACGACCGGUGGCGAAGGCGGGUCUCUGGGCCGAUACUGACGCUGAGGAGCGAAAGCGUGGGGAGGCGAACAGG